rnacentral:rRNA from 1 species
GACGAACGCUGGCGGCGUGCCUAAUACAUGCAAGUAGAACGCACGGUUUAUACCGUAGCUUGCUACACCAUAGACUGUGAGUUGCGAACGGGUGAGUAACGCGUAGGUAACCUGCCUGGUAGCGGGGGAUAACUAUUGGAAACGAUAGCUAAUACCGCAUAAUAUUAAUUAUUGCAUGAUAAUUAAUUGAAAGGUGCAAUUGCACCACUACCAGAUGGACCUGCGUUGUAUUAGCUAGUAGGUGAGGUAACGGCUCACCUAGGCGACGAUACAUAGCCGACCUGAGAGGGUGAUCGGCCACACUGGGACUGAGACACGGCCCAGACUCCUACGGGAGGCAGCAGUAGGGAAUCUUCGGCAAUGGACGAAAGUCUGACCGAGCAACGCCGCGUGAGUGAAGAAGGUUUUCGGAUCGUAAAGCUCUGUUGUAAGAGAAGAACGGGUGUGAGAGUGGAAGGUUCACACUGUGACGGUAUCUUACCAGAAAGGGACGGCUAACUACGUG